rnacentral:rRNA from 1 species
GACAGAGGUGGCAAGCGUUGUCCGGAUUUACUGGGCGUAAAGGGCGUGUAGGCGGUUCCAUAAGUCGGCCGUGAAAAGCGUCAGCUCAACUGAAGCAGGGCGACCGAGACUGUGGGACUUCGAGUGCGGGAGAGGGAAGCGGAAUUCCCGGUGUAGCAGUGAAAUGCGUAGAUAUCGGGAAGAACACCAAUGGCGAAAGCGACUUCCUGGCCCGCUACUGACGCUGAGGCGCGAAAGCCAGGGGAGCGAACGGG